rnacentral:rRNA from 1 species
AUGGCCAUGGCCGCCUCCAGAUCGCUCUGGGCCUCCCGCGCCGCCUCCUACCUCAAGAUCUCCGCCUUCCCCAGGGCCUUCUCCACCGUGCUGAAGGAUCUGAAGUAUGCUGAAACCCAUGAAUGGGUAAAGGUUGAUGGUGAUUCCGCAACCGUUGGGAUUACAGACCAUGCCCAGGACCAUUUGGGUGAUGUUGUAUAUGUGGAGCUGCCAGAAGUUGGCGCUUCUGUAUCUCAGGGAACAAACUUUGGUGCUGUUGAAAGUGUGAAGGCAACCAGUGACAUCAACUCGCCGGUGUCUGGAGAGGUCAUUGCAGUGAAUGACGAACUACUAGAGAAACCAGCAUUGGUCAAUGGAGAUCCAUAUGAGGGCGGCUGGAUCAUCAAGGUCAAGGUCAGCGAUGCAGGUGAGCUCAACUCACUGAUGGACGACAAGAAGUACUCAAAAUUCUGCGAGGAAGAGGACAGCAAGCAUUAA